rnacentral:tRNA from 1 species
GCCUGAGUGGCUUAGCUGGUUAAGCAUCUGACUCUGGAUUUCUGCUCAGGUCACGAUCUCACGGUUUGUGAGUUUGAGUCCCAUAUCAGGCU